rnacentral:rRNA from 1 species
AUACGGAGGUUGCAAGCGUUAAUCGGAAUUACUGGGCGUAAAGCGUACGUAGGCGGUUAGUUAAGUUAGAUGUGAAAGCCCCGGGCUUAACCUGGGAACUGCAUUUAAAACUGGCUAACUAGAGUUAAGUAGAGGGGAGUGGAAUUUCAGGUGUAGCGGUGAAAUGCGUAGAGAUCUGAAGGAACACCAGUGGCGAAGGCGACUCCCUGGACUCGAACUGACGCUGAGGUACGAAAGCGUGGGUAGCAAACGGGAUUAGAAACCCUAGUAGUCC